GUGGGGAAUAUUGGACAAUGGGCGAAAGCCUGAUCCAGCCAUGCCGCGUGUGUGAAGAAGGCCUUCGGGUUGUAAACUGCUUUUGUACGGAACGAAACGGUCCGGGUUAAUACCCUGGGCUAAUGACGGUACCGUAAGAAUAAGUACCGGCUAACUACGUGCCAGCAGCCGCGGUAAUACGUAGGGUGCAAGCGUUAAUCGGAAUUACUGGGCGUAAAGCGUGCGCAGGCGGGCUAUCAAGUCAGAGGUGAAAUCCCACAGCUUAACUGUGGAAAUGCCUUUGAAACUGAUGGUCUUGAAUUAAGUGGGCGGUGGCGGAAUAUGACAUGUAGCGGUGAAAUGCAUAGAUAUGUCAUGGAACACCGAAAGCGAAGGCAAUCCCCUGGGCCUGCACUGACGCUCAUGCACGAAAGCGUGGGGAGCAAACAGGAUUAGAUACCCUGGUAGUCC
rnacentral:rRNA from 1 species